rnacentral:rRNA from 1 species
UAAUACGGAGGGUGCAAGCGUUGUCCGGAUUUAUUGGGUUUAAAGGGUGCGUAGGCGGCUCUUUAAGUCAGUGGUGAAAGCCCGCAGCUUAACUGCGGAACUGCCAUUGAUACUGGAGAGCUUGAGUACGGUUGAAGUAGGCGGAAUUUAUGGUGUAGCGGUGAAAUGCAUAGAUACCAUAAAGAACACCGAUAGUGUAGGCAGCUUACUAAGCCGUAACUGACGCUGAGGCACGAAAGCAUGGGGAGCGAACAGGAUUAGAUACCCUGGUAGUCCAUGCCGUAAACGAUGAUCACUCGCUGUUAGCGAUAUACUGUUAGCGGCCAAGCGAAAGCGUUAAGUGAUCCACCUGGGGAGUACGUCCGCAAGGAUG